UGGCGGCAGGCCUAACACAUGCAAGUCGAGCGGUAGCACAGAGAGCUUGCUCUCGGGUGACGAGCGGCGGACGGGUGAGUAAUGUCUGGGAAACUGCCUGAUGGAGGGGGAUAACUACUGGAAACGGUAGCUAAUACCGCAUAACGUCGCAAGACCAAAGUGGGGGACCUUCGGGCCUCAUGCCAUCAGAUGUGCCCAGAUGGGAUUAGCUAGUAGGUGGGGUAACGGCUCACCUAGGCGACGAUCCCUAGCUGGUCUGAGAGGAUGACCAGCCACACUGGAACUGAGACACGGUCCAGACUCCUACGGGAGGCAGCAGUGGGGAAUAUUGCACAAUGGGCGCAAGCCUGAUGCAGCCAUGCCGCGUGUGUGAAGAAGGCCUUCGGGUUGUAAAGCACUUUCAGCGGGGAGGAAGGCGGUGAGGUUAAUAACCUCAUCGAUUGACGUUACCCGCAGAAGAAGCACCGGCUAACUCCGUGCCAGCAGCCGCGGUAAUACGGAGGGUGCAAGCGUUAAUCGGAAUUACUGGGCGUAAAGCGCACGCAGGCGGUCUGUCAAGUCGGAUGUGAAAUCCCCGGGCUCAACCUGGGAACUGCAUUCGAAACUGGCAGGUUAGAGUCUUGUAGAGGGGGGUAGAAUUCCAGGUGUAGCGGUGAAAUGCGUAGAGAUCUGGAGG
rnacentral:rRNA from 1 species